AUACGGAGGUUGCGAGCGUUAUCCGGAUUUAUUGGGCUUAAAGGGAGCGUAGGCGGGAGCUUAAGUCAGCGGUUAAAUGGUGCGGCUCAACCGUGCCCUGCCGUUGAAACUGGGUUUCUUGAGAGUGCAAGAGGCGGAUGGAAUUCAUGGUGUAGCGGUGAAAUGCUUAGAUAUCAUGAAGAACUCCGAUUGCGAAGGCAGUCCGCGGGGGCACGUCUGACGCUGAUGCUCGAAGGUGCGGGAAUCAAACAGGAUUAGAUACCCUGGUAGUCCGCACGGUAAACGAUGAUUACCCGCUGUCGGCGGUAGACAGUCGGCGGCCAAGCGAAAGCGAUAAGUAAUCCACCUGGGGAGUACGCCGGCAGCGGUGAAACUCAAAUGAAUUGACGGGG
rnacentral:rRNA from 1 species